rnacentral:rRNA from 1 species
CCUACGGGAGGCAGCAGUGAGGAAUAUUGGUCAAUGGGCGCGAGCCUGAACCAGCCAAGUAGCGUGAAGGAUGACUGCCCUACGGGUUGUAAACUUCUUUUAUAAAGGAAUAAAGUGAGGCACGUGUGCCUUUUUGUAUGUACUUUAUGAAUAAGGAUCGGCUAACUCCGUGCCAGCAGCCGCGGUAAUACGGAAGGCCCGAGCGUUAUCCGGAUUCAUUGGGCUUAAAGGGAGCGUAGGCGGGCGUUCAAGUCAGCUGUAAAAUCGCGCGGCUCAACCGCGCCCCGCAGUUGAAACUGGACGCCUUGAGUUCACAACAGGCAGGCGGAAUUCGUGGUGUAGCGGUGAAAUGCAUAGAUAUCACGAGGAACCCCGAUUGCGAAGGCAGCCUGCCGGGGUGCGACUGACGCUGAGGCUCGAAGGUGCGGGUAUCAAACAGGAUUAGAUACCCGAGUAGUC